rnacentral:tRNA from 2 species
GGGCGGUUGGCGCAGCGGUAGCGCGCUUCCCUGACACGGAAGAGGUCACAGGUUCGAUCCCUGUACCGCCCA